UUUGUUAAAAAGGCAUAUGCCUAUGAUUAAGGGAAGGUGUUCCCGAAACGCGUAAGGCCUAUGUACCCUUGCAGUACUCUACAAUAAAAACCUGUUUUUUACCGGAGUGCCGUCCUCCUGUUAGUAUAUUACUGUUGGAACACCCGGCACUACAGAGGAGCAGCUAAGUGGUGGUUAUUCUUUCUCUGCUGCAGUUUCUUCCAACUGUAGAUCAAGUUCAUAAUGGAUUCUGUGCAAAGAAGUGCCUCCAUUGUGCAGGAAAUCUCUAAACAUUAAUCACAAAUUUAACAGUUGAUGCUUUAGUUGUGAAGCAACCUUUAGUAAGAAAAUGUGGUGCAGUUCAGCAACUGUAAAUUAUGUCGGUACAUUUUUCAAAAUCAUUUUUAUGUGUAUUGUACUUGGUUAGUUUAUGGCUAGUUUAUGGCUGGGCUGGACCAUGCCCCUUCUCAGUGUUAACAGUCUUGGUCUAUUAGAUCAAGCUGUGAAAAAAAUGGAAGCAGGAAUCAGAGCACAAUAAGAACCCUUGAAGAUGUGGUCAGUGUCAGUGUUUUUAUGGCACAAUGUUUUUAUUUAUAGAACAGUACAUUUGAUAUUGGAAAUGUCAUCUUUUUAUACUUCGUAUUAGGGAAUGUUUCAGAAACUUUUUAUGAUCUUAUUUGGCUAGAACUACGCUUUGUUGUUUCUUUUUAAACAUUAGAUAGAGAGAGAGAGAGAUAUAUAGAGAUAUAUAUAUAUAUAUAUAUAUAUAUAGAGAUAUAUAUAUAUAUAUAUAUAUAUAUAGAGAUAUAUAUAUAUUCCAAUGACCCACCCAACCCCUUUAAAUAUGCUUAAAGCUAUUUCACUUUAUUAAAUGGUUGAGCCUGUGUUCGUUUGGAAAAAAAGUAUUGCAGAUUCUGCCUCUAUUCUAAAUAAUGUAACAUGAGUAAAUGUAUUUUAUACACUUGCUAUAGAUUUCUGAGUCGUUUGUCACUGGCAAAAAAAGACAAAUAAUUGCACCAUCAAUAAGUGAGUCCUAUUCUACUUCAUAAAGUGCCUUCCUCUUGGCCAGCACUUAAUUUAUUCACCAAGGGUAAUGCAAAAUAAGAAUAUUAUUAUACUUAUAAUUUACAGGGCUUGUAAAACUGUGUUUAAUCAUUUAAUCCAGACCCUUGAUAAAGGCCCUAAUGUGGGUCGAAACGUUGGAUGCACAAGUUUGAAAGAUAAAGAUAAUUUUGGUUCACUAACCAAGGAGUGCGGGUCCUCUUGAACUAUACAUUAACACUUUGACCCUGCACCCACGCUUAUGGAAGACUGGUUCAGAGUGCAAGUGUCUGAUUUGUGUGGUGCUUUAUUAUCUGUCACAGUCAAUGUGACAUUUGUAACUAGGGUAAAGAUUUUCAGCUCACUUAUUCAGAAGCAGUUCAUUCCUAACUUUCUGUGGUUCUUAAAUACAUUUAAUUAAAGUACUUGCUUUAGUGUGACUUUCAGUCAAGUUGUAUUAUGUAAACUGGCCCAUACCACAACUGCAUCUUGGUAAUGCAGCUCAAUCUAUUGGACACUGUUAUUGACUUCAUUUCAAACAAAAAAAAAUCAUUGCAAUAGAAAGGUCAAAAACUAAUACAAUGCACAUUGUUAGUUUGUUAUGCUCACUUGCAUAUCAUUUUUUUUUAUUUUGCACUUUUUACUUUUUAUUUAACAAAUAAAAAAUACCUAAAUACUU